GUCUACGGCCAUGCCACCCUGAACAAUCUCAAUCACGUCUGAUCUCGGAAGCUAAGCAGGGUCAGGCCUGGUUAGUACCUGGAUGAGAGACCACCUAGGAAGACCAGGUGCUGUAGAUG
rnacentral:rRNA from 1 species